AUUGAACGCUGGCGGCAUGCCUUACACAUGCAAGUCGAACGGCAGCACGGGGCAACCUGGUGGCGAGUGGCGAACGGGUGAGUAAUGCAUCGGAACGUGCCAUUGAGUGGGGGAUAACGUAGCGAAAGUUGCGCUAAUACCGCAUAUUCUGUGAGCAGGAAAGCAGGGGACCGCAAGGCCUUGCGCUCUUUGAGCGGCCGAUGUCAGAUUAGCUAGUUGGUGAGGUAACGGCUUACCAAGGCGACGAUCUGUAGCGGGUCUGAGAGGAUGAUCCGCCACACUGGGACUGAGACACGGCCCAGACUCCUACGGGAGGCAGCAGUGGGGAAUUUUGGACAAUGGGCGCAAGCCUGAUCCAGCCAUGCCGCGUGAGUGAAGAAGGCCUUCGGGUUGUAAAGCUCUUUCAGGUGGAAGAAACGACAUGGGUCAAUACCCUGUGUGGAUGACGGUACCAUCAGAAGAAG
rnacentral:rRNA from 1 species